AUGGUCCUCCAGACACUGAUGCCACCACCCAGCUUCACCCAGUCCCUCCUCCCAGGACAUAGGCUUGGAAGUGGCUCCUCACACUCUCUCAGCCUUCCCUCUCUUUCCCUCCCCUUUCCUCUCUGCUCCCCUCCCCUGCUCUGGGGCUGACUCUGAGUGAGAGGUCCUCCCUCCUCCCUCAACUCACCCUGGCCCCCACUUCCCAGGGUGGCCCCCCAGGGUGGAGGGGGACUCGGGAGGAGAGGGGCAAGAAGAGUCUGGACCCCGAGGCAGGUCUGCUGGGGCUGGCUCCAGGGGAGAGCACAGAGCUGGCCAGGCUGCCUGGGAUAGAGGGACAGAAGGAGGCCGAGCAAGGGGCCACGGGGAGCAGGAGGAGAGUCUCCCUCAGGGGCAGCGGCAGGCCCGAGGCCCCUCCCACUCACAGAGGCGGCUGAGAGCAGGGCAGCACGGCGGGGCCAGUGGGCAGCAGGCAGACACCCAGGCCCCCGAGCGAGUAGAGGGGUGCUGCCAGGCCCAGGGUCCUCUGUCAUUGCCCAUCUCCGCCUUUCUCUCUGUCUCUUGCCCGCUUUCUGUGGUUCCCCGUGUGUGCAUGUGUCUGUCUCCCACUCGCUUCCCUCUUCCCUUCUCCCGUGCCUUCUCUCGCCCGGCUCUUCCACUCAAGGGCCCAGUAUCUGGGGCCAGGUUCCCAGAGUGGAAGGCGGCUUCGUCCUGGGAGGCCUUUGACCCAAGCCCACAGUCUCCACAUAGCCAUGUCCAGCUCCCCCUUUCCUCGCCCAGGCCUUCCCUGUGCCGGGGUCCUUGGAGCCAGAGCCCAUCCUGCCCUUGCCAGCCUCUUCAGCACUUGCCCAGCACGGAGUCGGAGCUCAGCCACAAGGCCCUGGGGGCCAGGCUGGCCUGAAGCUGCCCUGGACCCUGGCGCCUCAUGGGGGCUCAGUUGGAAGUGCCCAGGGGUGGUGGUGUGUGUCCCUCUCUGCCCCAGCCUCUAGAGCCCUGGAGGAGCCUGUGGUGAGAGGUGGACGUGGUUGUUCUCAGGGGCCAUGGAGGCAACCAGGACCCCAGGGCGUAGGGGUGGCAUGAAGUUUCCCUUAGAAAGCUGUUGAGCCAUCUGGGCACCUCUGCAUGUCGGGCCACCUGGUACGCGUCUCCACUUGGAUGCUCUACAGGUUUACCAACCCCCCGUGUUCAACAGUAAACUAGAAACCCGGAGCCAGCCUUAGUGGAUCCCUGGCCCACAGCCCUCUGCCAGUCAGUCGCCAGGUCCCAUGGCUUCUGCCCCUUACAUCUCUAUCAAUCCGGCCACCUUUUUCCACCCCCAGCCUGGGCCUGGCCACCGCCACCUCUCACCUGGACCUCUGCGGGAGCCUCCUGAGAGGUCACCCCACCUCCAUUCUGAUCACCUGCCAGCCCAUCCUCCACACCUUGCCCAGAAAUGCACCCUGACCCUCAUACAGCUCCUACAGCGCCCGCGCCCCGCGCCCCCCACACUCCUAUAGCCUCUGCGCCAGGCUCUCUCCCCACUGCGCCUUGGCAGGUGCUGUAGCCUCAGCCCUCAGCAAUCUUUCUUAGGGCUCCUCCUGGCAUCCCUUACUCUGGGAAGCCUCUCCUGUGUUCUUCCCACUGGAGCCUGGGGCAGGAUUCCCCUUGCAAGAGCUGCCGUCGCCUUCAUCCCCCCACCGCAGCACGCAGGGCGCUGAAUAGCACUUCGCUGUCUCCAACGAGCAGAGAGGCCAUGCCUGGCCACAGCAAGGCCUGCGGCGCACCAGGAGACAAGGAGAAUCAUCAGAGAAGGCCUCCGCACCCCAGGGUGGGCCAAGGCCUCCUGCCAGCGCCCACCAGCGUCUUCAGCAGCAGUCCUGGGCCUGAAUGAACUGGCUGCAUGUGACCGCAAACACAUAUGACCGCAUCUCACCCGGGUUCACGGCCAUGCCAGGGAGACGGAUGCUGCUCCUGGAGUCUGAGCACAGCCCCAAGUGGAGAUCUCUGAAGACUUUUCUACCUUAAAAAUUCAUAGGCAUUUUGCUUCCUGCCUCAUACUAUCUCCUUGCAUGUUUUAAUAUCAAAAUAAUGCUGCCCAUCACUUACCAAUGGACAAAAGCGGACA